GGGUUGUGAGGUUAAGCGACUAAGCGUACACGGUGGAUGCCCUGGCAGUCAGAGGCGAUGAAGGACGUGCUAAUCUGCGAAAAGCGUCGGUAAGGUGAUAUGAACCGUUACAGCCGGCGAUGUCCGAAUGGGGAAACCCAGUGCAAUUCGUUGCACUAUCGUUAACUGAAUACAUAGGUUAACGAGGCGAACCGGGGGAACUGAAACAUCUAAGUACCCCGAGGAAAAGAAAUCAACCGAGAUUCCCCCAGUAGCGGCGAGCGAACGGGGAGCAGCCCGGAGUCUGAAUCAGCUUGUGUGUUAGUGGAAGCGUCUGGAAAGUCGCAGGGUACAGGGUGAUACUCCCGUACACUAAAGCACACAGGUUGUGAACUCGAAGAGUAGGGCGGGACACGUGGUAUCCUGUCUGAAUAUGGGGGGACCAUCCUCCAAGGCUAAAUACUCCUGACUGACCGAUAGUGAACCAGUACCGUGAGGGAAAGGCGAAAAGAACCCCGGCGAGGGGAGUGAAAAAGAACCUGAAACCGUGUACGUACAAGCAGUAGGAGCCCACUUGUUGGGUGACUGCGUACCUUUUGUAUAAUGGGUCAGCGACUUAUAUUCUGUAGCAAGGUUAACCGUAUAGGGGAGCCGCAGGGAAACCGAGUCUUAACUGGGCGUUAAGUUGCAGGGUAUAGACCCGAAACCCGGUGAUCUAGCCAUGGGCAGGUUGAAGGUUGGGUAACACUAACUGGAGGACCGAACCGACUAAUGUUGAAAAAUUAGCGGAUGACUUGUGGCUGGGGGUGAAAGGCCAAUCAAACCGGGAGAUAGCUGGUUCUCCCCGAAAGCUAUUUAGGUAGCGCCUCGUGAACUCAUCUUCGGGGGUAGAGCACUGUUUCGGCUAGGGGGUCAUCCCGACUUACCAACCCGAUGCAAACUACGAAUACCGAAGAAUGUUAUCACGGGAGACACACGGCGGGUGCUAACGUCCGUCGUGAAGAGGGAAACAACCCAGACCGCCAGCUAAGGUCCCAAAGUCAUGGUUAAGUGGGAAACGAUGUGGGAAGGCCCAGACAGCCAGGAUGUUGGCUUAGAAGCAGCCAUCAUUUAAAGAAAGCGUAAUAGCUCACUGGUCGAGUCGGCCUGCGCGGAAGAUGUAACGGGGCUAAACCAUGCACCGAAGCUGCGGCAGCGACACUAUGUGUUGUUGGGUAGGGGAGCGUUCUGUAAGCCGUUGAAGGUGGCCUGUGAGGGUUGCUGGAGGUAUCAGAAGUGCGAAUGCUGACAUAAGUAACGAUAAUGCGGGUGAAAAACCCGCACGCCGGAAGACCAAGGGUUCCUGUCCAACGUUAAUCGGGGCAGGGUGAGUCGACCCCUAAGGCGAGGCCGAAAGGCGUAGUCGAUGGGAAACAGGUUAAUAUUCCUGUACUCGGUGUUACUGCGAAGGGGGGACGGAGAAGGCUAUGUUGGCCGGGCGACGGUUGUCCCGGUUUAAGCAUGUAGGCGGAUGUUCCAGGUAAAUCCGGAACGUUACUAACGCUGAGGUGUGAUGACGAGGCACUACGGUGCUGAAGUGACAAAUGCCCUGCUUCCAGGAAAAGCCUCUAAGCAUCAGGUAACAUCAAAUCGUACCCCAAACCGACACAGGUGGUCAGGUAGAGAAUACCAAGGCGCUUGAGAGAACUCGGGUGAAGGAACUAGGCAAAAUGGUGCCGUAACUUCGGGAGAAGGCACGCUGAUGGUAAGUGAAGCGACUUGCUCGUGGAGCUGAAAUCAGUCGAAGAUACCAGCUGGCUGCAACUGUUUAUUAAAAACACAGCACUGUGCAAACACGAAAGUGGACGUAUACGGUGUGACGCCUGCCCGGUGCCGGAAGGUUAAUUGAUGGGGUUAUCCGUAAGGAGAAGCUCUUGAUCGAAGCCCCGGUAAACGGCGGCCGUAACUAUAACGGUCCUAAGGUAGCGAAAUUCCUUGUCGGGUAAGUUCCGACCUGCACGAAUGGCGUAAUGAUGGCCAGGCUGUCUCCACCCGAGACUCAGUGAAAUUGAACUCGCUGUGAAGAUGCAGUGUACCCGCGGCAAGACGGAAAGACCCCGUGAACCUUUACUAUAGCUUGACACUGAACACUGGUCCUUGAUGUGUAGGAUAGGUGGGAGGCUUUGAAGUGUGGACGCCAGUCUGCAUGGAGCCAUCCUUGAAAUACCACCCUUUAAUGGCUGGUGUUCUAACGUGGGCCCCUGAUCGGGGUUGCGGACAGUGUCUGGUGGGUAGUUUGACUGGGGCGGUCUCCUCCUAAAGAGUAACGGAGGAGCACGAAGGUCAGCUAAUCCUGGUCGGACAUCAGGAGGUUAGUGCAAUGGCAUAAGCUGGCUUGACUGCGAGCGUGACGGCGCGAGCAGGUGCGAAAGCAGGUCAUAGUGAUCCGGUGGUUCUGAAUGGAAGGGCCAUCGCUCAACGGAUAAAAGGUACUCCGGGGAUAACAGGCUGAUACCGCCCAAGAGUUCAUAUCGACGGCGGUGUUUGGCACCUCGAUGUCGGCUCAUCACAUCCUGGGGCUGAAGUAGGUCCCAAGGGUAUGGCUGUUCGCCAUUUAAAGUGGUACGCGAGCUGGGUUUAGAACGUCGUGAGACAGUUCGGUCCCUAUCUGCCGUGGGCGCUGGAGAAUUGAGGGGGGCUGCUCCUAGUACGAGAGGACCGGAGUGGACGCAUCACUGGUGUUCGGGUUGUCAUGCCAAUGGCAUUGCCCGGUAGCUAAAUGCGGAAGAGAUAAGUGCUGAAAGCAUCUAAGCACGAAACUUGCCCCGAGAUGAGUUCUCCCUGACCCUUUAAGGGUCCUGAAGGAACGUUGAAGACGACGACGUUGAUAGGCCGGGUGUGUAAGCGCAGCGAUGCGUUGAGCUAACCGGUACUAAUAAACCGUGAGGCUUAACCUUACAACGCCGAAG
rnacentral:rRNA from 1 species